rnacentral:rRNA from 1 species
AAUGACUCUCGGCAACGGAUAUCUCGGCUCUYGCAUCGAUGAAGAACGUAGCGAAAUGCGAUACUUGGUGUGAAUUGCAGAAUCCCGUGAACCAUCGAGUCUUUGAACGCAAGUUGCGCCCSAAGCCAUUAGGCUGAGGGCACSCCUGCCUGGGUGUCACGCACCG